AAACAGAUGUGCUCAAGCUGAGUGGUCCA
rnacentral:piRNA from 1 species